AUACGGAGGGGGUUAGCGUUGUUCGGAAUUACUGGGCGUAAAGCGCACGUAGGCGGACUGGAAAGUUGGGGGUGAAAUCCCGGGGCUCAACCCCGGAACUGCCUCCAAAACUUCCAAUCUAGAGAUCGAGAGAGGUGAGUGGAAUUCCAAGUGUAGAGGUGAAAUUCGUAGAUAUUUGGAGGAACACCAGUGGCGAAGGCGGCUCACUGGCUCGAUACUGACGCUGAGGUGCGAAAGCGUGGGGAGCAAACAGGAUUAGAUACCAGAGUAGUCC
rnacentral:rRNA from 1 species